rnacentral:tRNA from 1 species
GGGGAUGUGGUUCAGUGGUAGAGCACUUGCCUGUUAUGCAUGAGUCCAUGAUUUGAUCCUCAGCACCA